rnacentral:sRNA from 1 species
GCUAGGCGCGGUGUCGCAUGCCUGUAAUCCCAGUAGCUCGGGAGGCUGAGGCAGGGGGAUCAUGAGGUCAAAGCCAGUCUCAGCAAAAGAAAGACACUAAGUAACUCAGGGAGACCCUGUCUCUA